AAUCAAUGGUUAUCUAAACCAAUUAAUGCUCAUUCCAAUAAUGUUUCAGUGUCUCUCACGAAGAAUCUGGAGAGCUCUUCUCUAGUAAGAGGCUGGUGGACCUAGAGCAGCUGAGGGUGAAUUCUGGCAAAUGGACAGAACUUCCUGAACCUACGUUUCCUUAUUUGUAAUUUGGGUGCCAUGAUGGUGGUAACAGUGUCUGUCUUACAGAGUGAUGGUGAGCAUUAUGGCUACCUCAUUGCCUGAGAAAAUCUUUGCCCAGUUGGUUUGUAGUCUGGGCUCCCAGAAAGCUGGGGCUGAGACAAAGGCUCACAUGCACAUUCUUUAUGGUCAUGGGAUUCCAGGGACCUGGAUGAGAAAUGGAGGAACCAUGGAGGAAGGAAUCAGGGCCUGUGGCCUGUAUGAGCAUGCAUGUUAAGUUGGCUACUGCUUAGGGUUUUCAUAUUUAGCAAAUAAAAAUACUAAACACCCACUCAACUCUGAAUUCUAGAGAAACAACAAAGAAUCCUUUGCAAUACGUAUGUGCCAUGCAAUAUUUGGGACAUAAGUUAUCAUAAACAAAUAAAAUUAUUUGUCAUUUAUCUGAAAUGCAGUCAAUGGAGCACCCUAUACUUCAGAUGGCCUGCCACUGUUACUAGUGAUGGGUUGCUUGUUCCUGUAGGACUGUCUGAGAAGUUGUAUGAAAUCUGUCUUGGGAUUGAGCCAUUUGUCCGCAUUCUCUGUUUGGCAAAAUCAAUGUUCCCCAUGGAUUGUAACUUCUCAAAGGCCUUCUGUGUUGUUCACUUGGGGUGAGCAGAUUCCUAUUCCGUUCUGCACGGUCAGGUAAGAAGCCUUCUGUGAGGUGCUGUGAAGCUGCUUCUGUGUGAGGCUGAUCUAGUAAUGGUGGCCAGAUACAACACAGUGGAGGAUGUGCCAGAGGCAUUCAUACAGGGGGUGAAGUGCAGUGAUUAACAGCACAGAUCUUGGAGCCAAGAAGGCCUGCGUUCAAAUCUCAGCUCUGCCAAUUACUAAGAGCAUAUGAGCUGGGGAGAGCAAGAGAAGCUUAAGCAGCCACCAUGUGGAGACUGAUGCAGGACUCGAUCAUACGAUCCUGGGAUCAGGACCUGAGUGGAAACAAGAGUCAGAUGCUCAACCGACUGAGCCAACCAGGUGUCCCAGGAGAGUUCCUUUAAAAUCAGAAAGUUUCACUUAGCAAAAUACAUCGUCCAACCAUGGCGUCUGGGUGAGGAAAGUGAACGAGCAAGAGUGAGCUCCGGUUACCUGUGUGGAGGCAUUAAUUUCAGCGUCUACUGCCCAGAUUUUUAGAAGUUUGUCAGUUAUUACUGGUCAAGUUUUCAGUGGGUAUGAGCAACUAUCAACUACGAAGACUAUGGAACAACAACAACAACAAAAAGUCACAUCAAAUGUUUACUUCUUGCUCUGGAAGUUCAGAAAUCUUGUCUUACUUGUGAAACAGAGAAAGACAAAAUAAAAUUGACAAUGUAUAUAAUAUGGUUCUUUGUAACCCAACUUUCCGGGGGGUCAGAAAGAGCCGUAUAAAAUACCUGAAGCUUCAUGAAGGUGCCUGGAGGGAAGAGGUAAAGGUUCUCACUUAGAGUGGAUAGUUGAUGCUCAACAGUUUGAAUUUGACUUGAGGAUAAACCAAGAGCCUGCAACUGGGACAAGGCAUGUUUAUCUUUAGUGCAGCAGUUUGGAGGUGGAGGCAUUCCUGCAACAAUUGGCUGGCACAUUCUAGGCACAAAAUAUUUGUUGGUGACCCAGAACCACUGCCUCCAAAUCGACCUUCUCUCAAUUCACAGAUACUAUCAAAGGAGGAAAACCCUAGAACCCCAAGAGAAACCCAUUUUUCUCCUCUUAAUCCCCAAGAGAUCAGUGUUUGCUAUUUCCAUGGCAACCAGAAGAUGCAAAAUGGCCAAAACCUGAGAGCUACUUCAGAUGAAAGCCAGAAAAAAGAAAAUUAACAAGAGACAUGUUACAGACAGCAUGGAUGACAGUGUGGCCAGGUUUCCGAAAUUUGGGGAGAUUUUCUUAUUUCUUUCCUUGGAAGAAUGCAAUGCUGUCCAGAAUGUAGCAGUGGAGCUUCUUGCUGUGCUGCUAAAUGUUCAUUGAGUACUUCGUUUUAUUCUUUUCUUGAAAGGAGUGGAGGGACCCAUGGGCCUUGGCAGCAAUUAAGUGAAAGUAAGCUGUUGGAAAUUGCUCUCCUGGCAAGCCUUGAUGUUAACCUCAAUGAGGAGGCCAGUCUGGCUACAGUGCCCUUGUUCCCUUUCUUCCAUGGAGUGAACAAAUAUUUAUUGAGCACCUUCUAUUUUCUAGGUAAUCUAUUCCACACACAACGAAAUGAAAACUUACAACUCUGAUAAGGGCUCCUAGGAGAAGUCCCUGUAACUACUAGAGUGUGUAGUAAGCAGAGCUGACCUGUUAGAGCGGCCAGGCCCUCCUAAGGAAGUAUGAUUAAGCUGAGUAGGAGGAAACUGGGCCGUGGUUGCAGGGCCUGGGGAGGGAGAACAUUCCAGGCAGUGGGAACUCUUGGGCAAAGGCCCUUUGGAGGAAGUGAGCCUCAAGUGUUCGAGGAACUGAAAGCAGGCCUGAGCAGCCUGUGUUGGCAGAACCCCAGAGCGUGAGGGGAAUGAACUUGGGGCAAGGCCAGUUGGAGAUGUGAGCAGGAGCCAGGUCAUUCUCAGUGCAGAGCCUAGUCUUGCAGGGUGGGUUUGUUAGGGACUUUGGUGUCUAUUUCUCCUCAUUCCAGGGUGAACUCAAGCUGUAACAGGAAUGUAUGACAGGCCCUUCUUGUGUGUGAUCUGGGAAUGGCAGCUUCUGGUUUAUCUGAAAUCCGUCAGAAUAUUGCCAUACAUUCCAGAUGUGAACCACCAAGUUUCAAAGGAUUAUAAUUUUAUGAAAUACUUUAAACCUAAAUCACAUUCAAGAUAUUUUAUGUAUGAAGACUCAGGCACUUUGGAGCCAUCACCAUGAAUUUCACUCAUCAUCAUAUAUUAACCGCUCAGAAGCCAGAGUUUGACCAUCUAAUAACUUCCCCUGUAUCUGUGACCCACCUGGAAUCUGGGAAGUUUGCAAGAAGCCAAAAAAAUGUAACAAAUUUUAAAUACAUAUUUUUACCAGAGGGUAGGUCCUCAUUAAGAACUUAAUUGAUUAAUUCCAUUGUACACACAGUUCUAACGAGUGGGUUUUUUGGGUUCCAAGGGCACAGCAGAUAGGGAGCAAUAAUUUAGAAAGGGAGAAGGGAUGGGGUGGUAUAUGCAAAUAAUUAAAAGUAACAGGGAGCAGUACAAAUGUAGAGGAGACCAAAAAAGAACCCCCCCCCCCAAACAAAACAAAACUCCUGAGACAAAAAACCCAUAAGAAUUGAAAACUAUAUUAAAAAAAAAAGUAAGGAAGAAAGAGAAAGACUAAAAGCAAACUGGGGCUUUAAUUACAGACAAAUCUUCUUGCAUGCCUUAAGAUCUUGAGGGCAUUGUUGUGUUUAUAAUAAGACUUAAUGCUUAAGAAGUCAGUCAUAUUUUAGAAGGAUUUCUGGGCCACAGAGUCAAGCUCUUAAAAAGGGUGUUGGUACUUAAGAAGUAGAUCUUCAGUCAUUGGGGAAAUUGUUGAGGAUGGUUCUUACCAAGGUUCUGUGUAACCACGGGUUUACUGUAGUAUGGUUCUGUGGAUGUGUUAAUACAGAUUUUGGGCUGAGAAAAUAUGUGACAUACCAGCUCUUGCUGAAACUGCUUCAUUUUCACAAGCCCUCGAAAUCUGGGUUUGAAGAAAAUCAUUGGAAGUGACGCUUUUCAUAUGUGAAUUGUCAUGGUGCUAUUCUUGACAGUGAAUGAGUUCUUGAAUAUUUAAAAAUAUUGUAGGUGAUACAAUGUGCUCCAUAAAUACAUCUUAAAGUUUGGCUUUCACAUUUUUAACUUUAAUUUUCAUGCUACCUCUUAAAUGCAAAUAACCUUUCUCCAGGCAUAAGGUGCUCUCAAAAGUUAUGUGGUUGUCUGAAUUGUAUGUUUUCACUUCCUCCAGAUGGGAAUGAGAAUGAAUAAAAAACAGUCCGAACACUUUGGAGAAUGCUCAUGCUAUAUGUUUAUGGAAUGAUUUGGGGGAUGACAUUAUGUGUUGCAAAUAAAUCCUCCGUACAUGUCAGGGCAUUUUCUGUCUCCCUAGAGAAUAUGUUCACACUGUAGUAGUUGAUGUUUUAAUUGUGUUUUUCUUAUGCUAUCUCACUUAUCAGACUCAUCUGCAAAAGAGUGAUGGAAUUUUGAAGAAAUCAUUAAUUUUCUAAAUGACAAUUCUUCUAUAUUGCUACUUUUUCAGUGUUUAACAGCAGGAGUUUUUGUUUGUUUUCUUUUUUCCUCCAGUUGACAGAGGUAAAUAAAUAUGGAAGUAAAUAUUUUCACAUUAUCCAAUUAAACUUAUUCUUGGGUCUAUCUUGUGACAAGCUUUACAAAAGACCUAGUAAAACGUUACAGCUAUUACAAAGGGGAAAGACUAAAUGCUCUAAUUAAAUGUGGCAUUUCCUAUUUCUUCUGGCUAUCAACUAGGUUCUAGGCCUGGUUGGAGGCCAGUAAAACAUUCUGGUUCUGAGAUGGCUUUUAUAUGAUGAGACUCACCACGGAUCUUCAGAGUGGAAUGAAUAGCAGAAUGAUACCAGUCUGGUCAGUUUUCACAAUACUGAAAUUGUAUACAGUCUGUAUUUACACUAAAAUGUUUUUGCUUAAAAUUAACAUAAUAUAAAUAAAAAUAAUAGCUUACCUAAUAUUUAACAAAAGCAAACAUUUACCUCUUGAGAGAGAAAUUAUUGUUCAAAUACAAAAUUUAUUUUUUUAGAUUUUAAUUUUUAAGUAACCUCCACACCCAACAAGUGGCUCAAACUCACAACCCCAAAAUCAACAGUCACAUGUUCUACCGAUUAAGCCACCAGGCACCUCUCCAAAUUAUAAAAUAUAAAGCAAAUUUAUUUGUAAGCAAGUUGUUAACCUGAUCAUUUUGUGUAUGUCGAGAUGUAAUGAUUUAUUUUUCAAAAUUCCAGAUUGUAACUUAUUCCCUCGAUUAGCUGAGAUGACUAGCAAUAAUGAUGAGGCAAUGUCAUUUUUUCUUUCUGGAGUCUUCCUUCUAAGCACUGGACUGUGUGAAGUUCUUGCCACUAAAGAGUAGUUUUCAAACUUGGGUGUAAAGAAGCCUUAUGUGGGGAGUGACUGAUGGUCAAUUUAUGGUUCCCAGCUCCAGCAUUAUGUUCA